UCCCACCGAACCAUGGGCUCUGAUACCACUUGUAGCGGAAUUGUACGAUCCAUCCCACAUCUAUUCAUCACCUUAGCAGCGCACACCUGUGUAGACGAGCCCAAUAAGUAUGUUGGACCACCUCCUUACCUGAAAGGUUAACCUAUUAGGUUGAUGUUCUACCAUACUUAUUAAGCCAUCUACACUCUUGAAUUUAACCGAUGUGGGAUUCAUGUGAAAUCCUAACACUUAAUUAUACACUCUUCCUUAUAUAUAUAAUACCCAAAAAAAUACAUACAUAUAUAUAAAGGAAAAAAAUAAAAAAAAAAUAGUACAAGUUUUGAACUCUGCGAGGAGUACUGUUUAGUGAAAAAUUGCAACCGACCGUUACGGCCCCCGGCUCCCUUGCAAUUGUCUCGUUCCAAGAAGAAGAAAAGUAAAUUUAUGAUGCAUAUAUGCAUGUAUUGUUGAGGAGAGCAUUAACCUUGAAAUCUGGAUUACAAGCCAGACUAGUGUUAGUCAAAAAGGUGUCCUCACCCACUCCCACUCAUUUUCAAUUCCACCCACUCCCACUCAUUAUGUUUCCUCACCCACCCACUCCAUCUUCUACUUUCCUGCCUACCUCAUAAUUUAGCCAACCUCUCUCCUCCUCAUUUGGCUAUAAAAAGGAGGCUAAGGAAGAAGGAUGAAACACACCAANNNNNNNNNNNNNNNNNNNNNNNNNNNNNNNNNNNNNNNNNNNNNNNNNNNNNNNNNNNNNNNNNNNNNNNNNNNNNNNNNNNNNNNNNNNNNNNNNNNNAAUAUUAGAAGAAUUUCACCAUGUAUGCAGUACUUUGCAUAGACAGGUUAUUCCAACAUAAUAAUAAAGAAUGGAAUAACAGAAGAAUUUCACCAAGUAUAGGGUAGCCCGCGUAUACAGGUUAUUCCAACAGAAUAAUAAAGAAUGGAAUAACAGAAGUUCUCUUCAUAAAUAAGAAAGAAAGAGUACCACUACAAAAAAAUGGGGAUUCAGCAACAACCAAUUUUCGUUGCUAAAGGUGCCAAAUUUCGUUGCUAAAAGUUUUUGGCAACGACUUUACUGUCGUUACGUCUUUCGUUGCGCAAUGAGCGUUACUAAUUGUUCUGCAACGAACGUAUUUUUUUUGUUGCCAAAAGUAAUACAUUUUACAACGAAAUUUGGCUUUCGUACAGAGAUAUCGAUCCUUUAGCAACAAAAUGUAUUGUUGCAGAAUAAUUAAAAUGUCGUUGCUAAAAACUCCAUUUCGUUGCAAAAGGCUGUUAAUUGGCAACGAAAUGAAUUCUUUUUUUUUUGCAACGACCAUGCAUUUUCGUUGCAAUUGACACCAUUUUGCAACGACAUUUUUCGUUGCAGUAAAUUAUGAAAAUUGUUGCCUAAGCUUGCUUUCUUUGCGGAAUGUAAAUUUUUUAGCAACGAUUUUUGUUGCUGAUUAUAUUAUUUGGCAACGACAUUAUGCUGAAUCAGCAACGAAAAUGUUUAUUGCUGGUUAUUUUUCAAUAGCAACGAAAGUCGUCGAUUUGCAACGAUAUUAUAUGUUGCUGUUUCUUUAUAUGUGCAACGAAAGUUGAUAUGAUUUGCAACAAUAAAAGAUGUUACUUUUUAUUUUAGUAUUAGCAACAUUAUCCUCUCUGUUGUUAUUAGGUUAAUUUUUCGUUGCCAAAUAUUAUAUUUUUAAUACCAUUAGCAAGAAAAAUUUGUUGCUAAAUGUAUAAAAAAUUAUUGCUAUAUUAAAACUUGUUCAAUGCUUUGGUAACGAAUUAUAUUGUUGCCAAAUCAAAAUUUGACAUUCUUUUUAUGUACCUGACUGGCUCAAUGUCCCCAUAGCAAAUAAUAGCAAAAAUACAAAAAACUAAAAUAUUAUUAACUUAAUAAAAUCAUUCACUACACAAUCAUUCAUUAUCUUUACAAUUAACCAUUUAAAAUUACCACAGUUCUUCAAUCAAAGUAUAUAUCUACAUAUAUAGAGAGAGUACACUUCAUAAUUUUGUCUCUUGUCUUCCGUAAACGUAGCACGAAAAUUUGAUACCUAGUAUUGUAAGGCAGGUCGUAGAAGCAGUCUUCCUGCACAUAUUUAAAAAUCAUAGCAAGUCAAAAAAAUGAAGCAAAUAGAUCACCAGAGGCACUUAGUGCCAAAAUAAUACACAAAGACAAUAGAGUUGCUACGUGAUACUAAUGUACAUCGUAUUGCUCAUAAACAAAAAAAAACAAUUAGAAAUCUAUAUCAAACAGUUUCACGAUUCAAACUUGGAAAUAAAAAUUGCAAUGCUGAAGGAACUAUAAAUUAGAAAUGAUACCUCAGAGUCUCUUGAUCCAAGUAAACUUCUGUCAUUAAUGUUAGCAGAUCCAAUUAAGGACGUACAGUCAUCAAUUAUCAUGACCUUACUAUGAACAUUGCAGUAAAAAAAAGAGAAGGUUGUUGGUUGUGACAUAUGCACGUAGUAGAAGCUAGACUUUCAAUACAUUUUAUAUUUUAAGAAUAUAUGUAAAUUUGUUAAUCUUUAACAGCAGUUGCCGAUUAAUAUGAGCGAAAGCUUUGAAACCCUACACUUCCAUGAUAUGUGCACUACCACUGUUGGGUUUGUGUUCCAGCAACAUUUUCUAUGAUAUUUUAAAAUUUAUAUCAUGUUACAUUAUUCAUAUAAAAUGCUCAAAAAAAUAUAAAAUUAAAUAACAUACAUCAGUGUUUCGACUCUGUUGAACUAAUUCCUGAGAUAUACAGUAUUUUAAAGAGAGGGAAAAACAUUAAAUAAUCUUUGCCACAAUACCCAACAGAUACAAAAAACAUUUGUCUUCCUUUUACAGGAGGGAGUAAAAGAGGUACCUUGAGUGAUUCUACUUGUGAUAAUGAGUUGGCAAGCAUUGCAGCCCUGGAAUAUGUUCUGCAUUAUAUUAUCUUACAGUUAAAAAGAAAAUAAUCAAUUUUCUCAAACACUAUGUUUCUGUUUUCUAGGAGGAUUCAUCCCAAAAUUAACAUCAGUUUAUAAACCUUUUUGCCUUAGAAAAGCAACGGGUCAACAAACAUUCUCACUCUAAAAUGCAGUAAAAUUAUUACAAGACCAUCUUUUUCAGAAGUAAAAUUAGUUCCUCUAUAUUUUCCACAAAAUAAUGAUGUAUCAAUAGAAACACAAUAAGCUCACAAUAAUGAGAAAUCAUUUCAGGUAGUUUCGCACUUUCUGCGACAAAAAACUCAUAAAGCUUAAGACACUAUGUUUCUGAAGAAGGAAAAUCAGCAGUAACUAAUUGCAUUGUGUAGCGAAAUUGAACGAUCCAUCCCACAUCUAUUCAUCACCUUAGCAGCGCACACCUGUGUAGACGAGCCCAAUAAGUAUGUUGGACCACCUCCUUACCUAAAAGGUUAACCUAUUAGGUUGAUGUUCUACCAUACUUAUUAAGCCAUCUACACUCUUGAAUUUAACCGAUGUGGGAUUCAUGUGAAAUCCCAACAAUCUCCACCUUUCACUUGAAUACCCAUCACAAGUAUCAUACUAGAGUAUCUUAUCAUUAAGCACACCUUCUUUGAAUCCUUCAAGAGCUCUCUACUCGACUCUAAUACUACUCCCAGCAGUUUUUCCUAGAGCCAUCCCGAGCCAUGCUCCACCCGAUUCAAAUACUUUUUGAGUCCUUCAAGAGCCUUGCUUGACUCUAAUAUUACUCCACCACGUCCUGGGUGUCUCACCACGUCCUGGGUGUCUCAGCAAUUUCCCUAGAGCCUUCCCUAAGCCCGCUCCACCCGACUCAAAUCAUCCCGUGCUCCACCUGACACGAGGCCCCCGUGCUCCACCUGACACGAGGCCGUGCUCCACCUGAUUCAACUCUAUUUACUCCACCCACGAGGCCUGCGAAUUGUACCUCUCGCGCACCCCCUCGCACCUUGAAGUUGAUACUUGGACUCCCACCGAACCAUGGGCUUUGAUACCACUUGUAGGGAAAUUGUACGAUCCAUCCCACAUCUAUUCAUCACCUUAGCAGCGCACACCUGUGUAGACGAGUCCAAUAAGUAUGUUUGGACCACCUCCUUACCUAAAAGGUUAACCUAUUAGGUUGAUGUUCUACCAUACUUAUUAAGCCAUCUACACUCUUGAAUUUAACCGACGUGGGAUUCAUGUGAAAUCCCAACACAUUGCAUGUCAAAAGCCAAAAAGAAGAAGUUGAAGCUUGUAACUAGAAGGACAAAUGAUAAUUUGAAAGCCUACCAAGUGAUGACUGGACAAAAGAAGUACAUUUCUACCCAAGGUAGAUCAUAUUGAUACUAUGAAGCCAUUCAUGAGCAGACUAAAAUGGUUCUAAUACAACAAAGGAGGCAAACGAGGUUCCUAAGAAAUACGUCAAGCAAGUACCAUGAACUGGAAUUAUACAGUUUCAUUAAGAAGAUGCAUAAAACUUCUGAAACUUGCAAAAGAUUUAAUACCAAUAUAUGAUUAUUUCUUUCUGAUAGAAACAUAUAUGUUUUCUUGACAGAAACAGAAAUAUGGCAAUAUGGGAUAUCUUGGUAAGACAUCCAACAGAUGUAAGGAGGUGGGAGACUCCAAAUGACAAUAAGCUCGGAAGAUUAGCUCUCUUUCUUUUCGCCACUAGCUUCUGAUAGCAAUGGUUCAAGUUCCCCUUUACGGUAUAGCUUAACAGUAUCUGCACCAUGAAUUAAAAUCAAAACUUUUUCACUAGUUCUUUCACAUCCAGCUUCAAUAAUUUUGAUAGCCAUGCAAUCAUCUAGGAGUAAUUGAGUUAAAUGGCAAGCACUAUACCAAAUACUUGUAAUAAUCCAUGAAAUAAAUAAAAAUAACAAGAAGAGAACUUCUGGAAGUAUCACAAUAUUAAUAUUAUAGUGAGAAAAUUAAGUGUAGCAUCUCAAAAUAGAAAACUCUAAUAAAUUGAGGAUGAAACAAAAAACAGAAGGAAAAAAAAGGAAUAAAAACAUAAUACCAUACUUAAACGACAGUGUAUAAGAUAGUACUUGUACAACCUCCAAUGUGUUUUGCCCCUGGUCAUGAAAAAGACAGAAACUUUCAGCACUUUUAUUUUUAUAGAUAAAAUCUGAAAUACCAUUCCUUUGAAAGAAUUCUCUCCCAUAAACUUUUACAGUGAAACAAACAACAUAGCUACUUAAAAAUGAAGGGAAGAGAUCAAAGAAGCCAGGUACAAUAUUUCCAAGGACAUAUUAUGAUGACCAUAUAUAAGAUGAUAUAGUAGUGCAUACAGAAUGCACUGCUCUUUCGAUAAUAAGAUAAGAGAAUAAGAUAAGCUUUGAAACCCUACACUUCCAUGAUAUCUUAAAUUGAUAAUAAGAUAAGAGAAUAAGAUGAUAUAGUAGUGCGUACAGAAUUGAUAAAGUCAUUGUUAAAAUCGUUUGGAGAGAGAGAACUGAAACUCAAUCGCUUAGAUGCGCCACUUAUCUGGAUAUUGGGCUGCCGAAAAUGUUUCUCAGAGGAGUCGGAGUUAAGGUCGAGGGAAUCCCUAAUAUACAGAGAGCCGCACAGAUCUGUGUUGAAUAGAGAGAGGCGCAGAUCUAUUCUAGGUUAGGCUUCUCUUUUUGGAACAUAAUAGAAGAAUGGCAGGGAAGUUUAAUCGCUUAGUGUAAUAUUUGAUGGCUUAAUAAAAGUCCAUCUCCUGCUUGGAGUCUAUGACUCAGCACUUACAACUUAUUA
rnacentral:lncRNA from 1 species